AGCAGCCGCGGUAACUCCAGCUCCAAUAGCGUAUAUUAAAGUUGUUGCAGUUAAAAAGCUCGUAGUUGAAUUUCGGGAUCGACGGGUCGGUCGCGCCUCUGGUGUGUACUGGCCCUGUCGGUUUCUCCCUUCUGACGAACCACGAUGUCAUUAAUUUGGUGUCGUGGGAAAUCAGGACUGUUACUUUGAAAAAAUUAGAGUGUUUAAAGCAGGCAUUCGCUUGAAUACAUUAGCAUGGAAUAAUGAAAUAGGACGUUUGAUCUUAUUUUGUUGGUUUCUAAGAUCGACGUAAUGAUUAAUAGGGAUAGUUGGGGGCAUUAGUAUUCAAUUGUCAGAGGUGAAAUUCUUGGAUUUAUUGAAGACUAACUACUGCGAAAGCAUUUGCCAAGGAUGUUUUCAUUAAUCAAGAACGAAAGUUAGGGGAUCGAAGACGAUCAGAUACCGUCGUAGUCUUAACCAUAAACUAUGCCGACUAGGGAUCGGAUGAUGUUAAUUUUUUAAUGACUCAUUCGGCGCCUUACG
rnacentral:rRNA from 1 species